AGGACAUUUGAACAGUUCUGGAGUGAAUACAGGUCUCCAUUGAACAUUCUGCUCAUUCACAGGAUGGAUCUCUGGAUAGGCCACGAUGUGCACCUGCCCUGCAACCCAGAAGACCAGAAAGACUCAUUACUAUAAAAAGUGCAGUUAGCACCGAAUCAUCUUAACACUGGGUAAUCACUUGCAGCAAACAAAAAAACCAGCAAUUUACUUUUCUGCAGUAUACUUGCAUAGCACGAGAAGUCAUGUCUUGCUAACAAAUGCAUUAUUCUGCCUGCUGCCCUUUUUUCAUUCAGAGCCCUCUAAUUAUUAACUUCAAGCUGAAACCUGUACUUUUUUUUUUUUCCUGCCUUGCAGUUAAGGUUGUGGGUUUUGUUUUCUCAUUACUGUAGGGCUUUCUGAAGGAUAGUGUACAGACAUUGAAAAGUCAGGUCCUGCAGGGUUGAGUCGCGUAGUAGUAUCUCUGUUCUUCCUCUCUUUAAAAAUGUUUUGGGGAAGCAAGGACAUGCAGGUGGAUAAAAUAAGUCCCUUGAUGUCUUAAUUCAGCUGUGACCUGAUCCUUAACUUC